UAGCAGCGGCUGUAGUUGGGGGUGGAAAAGGGAGGCGACUGAGAGAAGGAGAAAGAGAAAGAGGGAGAGUAUCAUAAUGAAAUAUUAGAUUUAGGGUUUCUAUUUAUCCUCUAAAUCAAUGGAUAGAAUCUACUACUUGUAAAUUAACGGUAGAAACUAAGUUUAAAAAUUAAUCGGUUUUCUAAUGGUUUUUGGUUCGGUUUUAGAGGUCAAACCAAAACCAACACUAUCUGUUUUCCACUUUCUACACCGUAACCAAUCCAUUAGUAAAUGGUUCGGUUUGGUUUCUUCCUAAUUGGUCUGGUUUGGUCCGGUUCUAGCGAAAAACCGAAACCAUGUUCAGUCCUAGGUACCAGUGAUUGGGUAAGUGAUAUGCUUAUUCAAGUCCCUAUUUUUUUUUAGGUAAUAGAUGAAGUGACUUGUGUGUCUGAAUAUGUAAUUUCUUCCACCGCCAAAAUCUUGCAUGAUUUAUGUCCAUUUUUUGUUUUAGAAUGAAGCUGUUCUGUUCGCUUUUAUAGUUAUUGAUUCUUAGAUGGGUAUUUACAAAAAUGGUCACACUUUGCUAUUCCGGUUAACAAAAUGAUCCCACUAUUACAAAGUAUUAGCAAAGUGGUGACUCAGCCGUUUACUGCAAAGUUAUGUCACGUGUCAGGCGUUUGUCGGGAUGUUAACUUACCUAAAUGCCCCUAAACCGUGUCAUUUGCACGUGUGGGAUCGAGUAGGGUUGAUUAACAAAUCUCUAAACAAUCUGGUACGUUGGAUCAAAACAAAUCAAAACCCUAGCUCAAAUACGAUUUUGUGACCAUUUCCCACCUCAUAACUUUGCCGCCUCUGUUCCCUCGCUUCUUCUCUGAAGAAAUGGAGAAGAAGAUGGCGAUUCCAUGAAGCAGUUACAGAUCGUACUGUUUCUUCACAUAUUUCUUCAAUAUCUUUUACUCUUCAUCUCGAUCGUUAUAAAGCGAAAUACGAGUUUAGAGAUUUGUGAACCAGUUAUCGAACUGUGAAGAUAAUCAGUGUUAAUUUUCGACAUCAAGAUGUUUACAAACAUCACCAGGUAAAUACCCUUCCAUGUUAUACUGCUUUCGUAGAUUAUCAACUCGAUUCAGAAACCUUAAUUUUCUGAAUUUUAAUUUUUUACUAAUAAACCCUAAAUUUCUGAAAUUGGGGAUUUGGGAUUUUCUUAUAGAAUUUGUGUUAGGGUUUGAUUAAUAUGUUAGGGUAGAACGGUUUUGGACAAAUAAGGUUCAAUAUUUUGAUAAUGUGGAUGUUAAUUCUGGUGGGUUGAAAGCAUUUUGUGAUAAAGUUCAUGCUUCUUUUAAGUUAGCCCCUAUCAAGAAGGUUGAGAUGAUGUGGAUUGGUAAUGAUAAACCAUAAUAUAUGGUUAAUGAUUCACAUUGGUAUGAGAUGUGGGAUAAGGCUGUUGCUGAGGAAUGGUAUGUAAAUUUAUGGUGCAAUGUUAGUGAUAGGAUUGUGCCUCCUGGUGAUGGAUGUGCUGAAAUUUCUGGUAUAUCAAACAAGAGAGACUCAACACCAUCCAAGGUUCUAAGCAGUUCAAGAACAUGCAUUAACUAUGCUUCUUCACCAGUCAGACUUGAUCCAGAGAUGUUUGCCACACCUAAGAAGAAGUUAACAUGCAUUACAUCACCACAUCAGGUCAGAAGGAGUCCAAGGAUAAUUAAGAGAUCUGUUGAUGCAGUUACUGGAGGUUCUUGAAGUAGCAAGAGGUUAUUUGAGAAUGUGGAUGAGUAUGUGAAUGUUGAUAAUGAUGAUGAUUAUGAGAAUUUUGUCUUAAGUGCUGAGACACUCCAAGCUGAAAGGGAGUACGAGAACAUUCAACUACCUAAUGAUGCUGAAGAUGUUUGUCAUCCCAAUGAUGAUCUUAGUAGCCCAGUUUCUGAUACUGAUGAAAUGGGCCUUGGUGUAUAUUGUGACUUUGUCAACAAUUACUUUAAGGACCACAACUGGGUUGACUAUGUACAUCCAAAGCAGUAUAUGGAAGCAGUCAAUGAAGAACAAGCAAGUGUUGUGGAGCAGGAGGAUCCUAAAGGAAAAGCAAUUGUUCCUUAUGAUGUUGAGGGUAAUGAGGAGUACGAUAGUGGUGAGGACAGUUAAAGAGAUGCAAGAUGUCUGGUCACAACAGGAGGACAUGUGCUGGUGCACCAGUUGGAUCCAAUCCAAAAACAAAAAGACAAAGAACUAUGGUGUAAGGAGGAACUCACAAGACUACUUACCCAUAUCCUGCAAAGCUUAGUACCAGUAGAAGGGCUAGUAAGGGGAGAAGAGGUGGGAGAGGUUCUGGUGCAUCAUCUUCUCAUCCUACCAUUGCAUCUUCUUCUCAGCCUUGCACUGGAUCAUUUUCUCAGCCUACAUCUGCUUCAUAUUCUCAGCCUACAUCUGCAUCAUAUGGAUCUAGAGGUGGCAGGGGUUCAAGAGGUGGGAGAGGUAGGUCUGGUGGUAGAUCUGUUCAACAGACAUUGAGCCAAACCAUCAGUGGUGCUGUUGGGUUGUCUCAGACUCUCUCUCAGACAUUCACAGUCCUUAAACCAAAGAAGGUGACCUUCUCUGCUACUCAAUGAAGACUAGUUGCUGGUAGUUAGAACGGAUGUGGUGUUGGGUUUAGUUCAGUUUCAGUCCCUUGUUGUUUAGGGCUUUUUUUUCUUGUUUGAAUGGAUGUUUAUGGUGCUUGUUACAAUGGAUUUCACUGCAUCUGUUUGCAGUUAACUUAACUUAAGAAGACUUAUAUUAAGUAAUUAUUAAUGGGUAAUAUAUGUAAUUAAUUUAAUUUCAUGUCUUUAUUGAUUGUUCAUUGUCACUGAUUAUUUUACAUAUUUAGAUUGCCUGUUUGCUUGCAUAGUUCUGCCAUUUUCAGGGUUGCAGUUUUGGUUUCAUGGAAAAGAGCAUCAGAAAGCCAUUGAAACUGCAAACAGUUGGUACAUUUGAGGAAAGUGGAGAUGGAAGCUGAAUUUGCAUUGCUUUCCAGGUGUUGUGGCAUCUGCAAACCACUCAAAGUAUGGGCAUAUGGAGCAGCUGAAGAACUUCUCACAUGGAUGAUCAUCUGUUUGGGCUUUCAAUAGCUUCCUCAAACCAUUGCAACGUACCAUUUUGCAUCUAGAAUAGAUCCAUGCACAGUCUAUUGCCUCAUGCAUACCUUUCUCACACAUUAAACAGUAGUUGUUGAUGCUGUUGAUCUUGUUGUUGCUACUUGAUAUCUCCCCUGAACUGCUGCUGCAAUAUUUUUCCAUUUUGCCACCACCCAUUCUAAACAUAUUAGUAUAUGAGGAUUGUGAAUGAUGAAUGAGUGUUAGCUGUGUCCGCAGGUGCGUGGUUUUAUAGUGAAGGGAAAGGCAUAUCAAGCCGUUGGGAACGGUCACAUUUUUAACCACAUAGAAAACGCCACGUGUAACAGUGCCAGGUGGAUUGCCACGUCUACAAGCUGUCAGGUGGUGUGUUAGUGCCACAGAUGCAUAGAUCUACGACAUAGACGUAUGUUAAUCAUGGUUCAACUACCACGGUUACAAGAGACCAAGGGGUAGAUUAGUCAGAUACUUUACCGUUUUUUUCAAUUUCUGUGUCUCGGAUGGAAAAAUACGGGUUUGUGAUCACUAAUUUAAAGUGUGAUCAUUUUGUAAACCAAUUAGGGAUAGUGUGACCAUUUUGUAAAACACCCUUUUCUUUUUGUUAUAUGCCUAUGCCUAUAAUAUAUAUAGGAAUUGUGGUA